UGUGUUUUUUUUUGCAUGACAAUCCUAUACAAUAUUUUUUUUUUAAAUUUAAAAAUAUAAUCAAGAAUAAUAAUAUAAAGCUCAAAUUUGCAAAUUAUGAAACUGGCAAUGAGGGCGUUUGCUGCUUUUUUCCUUGUGUUUUUACUUAUCUUGACGACAGUAGAGGUAAGCACAAAAGUAGUAGAAGCAAGGGUGUGCGGUACUCCAAGUCACAGGUUCAAAGGAAUAUGUGUUAGCAGCAGAAAUUGUGAAACUGUUUGCAAUGCUGAGAGAUUUCCUGGAGGAAGUUGCCAAGGAUUUCGCCGCAGAUGCAUUUGCAACAAACCCUGCGCUUAGGCUUAGCCGACAAUGGUGCCCAUCCCGUUCCUCAUCAACAAUAACCAACUUGAUGCAGUAUAUACACUAUAUGUCUCUAUAUAUCAUCUUAUACAACCGCGUGUGUACUAGUACUACGCUUCUUAUUAAUUGUGGUAACUUUGUGAUACGCAAAGUAGCGUAAUCGUAACAAACAAGUACGAAGUACUACAUACUAAAUGCGUAUGGUAGUACUAGUAUGUAAAGUGGAAAAGUAGUAGAGUAUUGAAUUUGUGAUCGAAUUCAUGUAGUAUGUAGUAUAUAGUAUGUGUAACGGUUGAUAAUGUAGUGUUUUGCACAAUUUGAGAUUUAUUUUUUCUUUUUAGAAAGGAAAAGUAGAGGUUGCAUAGAGAUGACGUAUUAGUGGAGCAAAUGAGAAAUAAUUCAAUUCCUAGUUGCAAAA